CGGUCGAAAUUUCGGUGUUACUGACAUUGGCCACAGUGAAAAAGUUUUGUAGGUGAAAUAUUUUCCUAAAAUUCAACCGUUUACCGAUCCGGAAACGGGUUUAAAAGUGAUUUAGCAAGUGACCGUACAUCCGGUUCAUCGAGCCCCGAUGGAGGUUUGUCGAACAUGUAUGAAUGCAGGCGCUAAGCCGCUUGUUCCCGUCUACUCGAAGCUGGAGGAUGUUUUCAUCGCCAACAUCAUCAUGGAGUGCACCUCCCUGCAGAUUCGUGAAAACGACGGUUUGCCAGCUCACAUUUGUAACAAAUGUGUCAACACGUUGAAGCUGCUCACAUCGUUCAUUCAGACGGCACGCGAUUGCGAUAGGCAGUUGCGUAAAAUUUGCAAGGUCGAAAAGCUUGGCACCAGUACUACUGCUACGCAUGGUGGAGCAGGUCUCGUAUCUGACGAGGAAUGUAAUUUGGAGCCCCAGGAAAGUCCCACCAAGACUGAGAUGCUUGACCAGGACAGCGACAUUUUUCAGUUUGCCGAAGUAAAAAUCGAAGCUAUAACCGAGGGUGCUCUGUUAGCCGAGACCGGUGAACAAUCGGAAUCAGAAGCGGAAAGCAAUAGCGAAGAUGAAGAUGGGAGAGAUUUUUCCGCAGGAUCUGACAGUAGUUCCAGUGAUAGCAAUAGCGAUAGCGAUUUUGAAGAAGAGAGUUUAACGUUAGAAUUGAAGCCGGCCCCGAAAAAGAGAGGUCGUAAACCGAAGCCAAAACCGGCAAAUACAGACGAUAAACCUUUACUGAACAAACGAAGGCACAAACCGGACGAGGACCUGUCUAUGACGGAAUACGAAAAGGAGCUUUACACAGAGAUAGUAGUCGAACCGGGUAAAUCGGUUUGCUGUGGUUGUCUCUGGAUAUACGAUACACCACAGGAGUUGGAAACCCAUCGGAACAAAGUUCAUAUCCGAAAACGCGAGAAAAAAUCAUUCAGGCCACAGACUAAGGUCCUGUGUGAUGGAUGCCUACGAAAGUAUAAUUCAAAAAGACGCGUUAACUACCACAAAGAGCGUAUUCGACAGCUGGAAGUUAUUUGGGAGUGCAAUAAGUGUAAGAACCGCUUCCACGAAGUCAGUCGGAGACGGUCUCAUGCCAAAAAACACCCUCAGAAGCAAUCUUCGUCAGUUGUAGUAGCACCGAUAAAAGAAUUUAUUCAAAAAGAGCUCGGAUGGCUGUGUUGCGCCCAAGCUUGUGGACAGUCCUUCCCUUCGGAAGCUGAACUACUGGGGCAUGCUCGAAAGGCUCACCAAAUCAACAAACAAGAAGCAGAGCUGGAAGAAAACCGGGACAAGUCAUUCCAAUGUAGAGUCUGCUAUAGAAAAUUCAACGAAAAAAGCGGCCUUAUCAAUCACCAACAGCGGUUGUAUAAGCUGCAAAAGUAUCAGUGUGCCCUCUGUGGGCUGCAGUUCAUUACCGCAGCCCGGCUAACAGAACACGAACUCACUCACAAGGACGAGAAACCCUUCAAAUGUACCGUCUGUUCCAAGUCGUUCACACAAAAGGGAAACCUAAAGACUCACAUGACUAUUCAUACCGAUGAAAAACCGUUUCAGUGUACCGUUUGUGGGAUUUCGUUCCGACAGAAAGGAGGUCUUAAGGCGCACAUGUCUAACCAUAUCGAGAAACCUCAGUUCAAGUGUGAGGUUUGUUCGAAGAUGUUCAAAGCCAAGCUUCAUCUACGCUAUCACAUGAGAACUCACAAUGGGGAACGGCCGUUCCCUUGUCGGUAUUGUGAAAAGGCUUUCGGCGAUUUUACCAACCGGAUGAGACAUGAAAUGAGCCAUACAGGUAUAAAACCGUAUAAGUGCUCGUAUUGUGACAAAACUUUCAUUCGAAAACGUUUCCAGGUAGAGCACGAAACUACUCAUACUGGUAUCAAACUGUACAACUGCGAGGUUUGCCAUCAAAGCUUCAGUCAGAAGAACUCGUGGAAAAAGCACAUGCAGUUCACCCACCCGGGACACCAACCGGGGGAAGCUACCAGCGGUGGACCAGCGUUGGCGCCAGUCGGAACAACGAAAACCAGCUCCCUGGUCAUCGAACCGGUACUGAUGUCCCCGGGAAGUUCGAUCAUAUCGGACAAUUCGGAACCGAUGCAUCCCCUAGCGUUAUCGAAUCAGCAACAGCACCAUCUGCUGGCCGGAUUUCCCCAUACGGUGAAGUCGUACUACGAUGAUAAGUCGGACCUCUAACUGUGAAGAGUUGUCUCUCCUUUUGUUUUGUGUUUCGGUGUUUCGUUCGAAAGAAAAGAUUUUCUGCUGAUUUCUGAUUCAAAACUAAUCGCUAGAGGCAUUGAAAGAUAUCCUAUUCCUUUAGAAUCAAAUUUUAAAUCCGGAAGUUAAAAAUAAAAUCAAAACUUCUAAUUAAAAUCACGAAUGCCGAAUUAUUAAAACUUCAUUCUCAAUUAACGUUGUUCCUUUUAUGUGUUUAUCCGUAUAUCAACGUUGAAAUCGUCAGCUCUGUGAAGAUGAGAUUCUGCGUGCUUCGAAGCGAGCCACGCUGCCACCACCACCUGAUAGUGUGAAAUCGGGAAUGAAUAAUUUUUUACUUCCAUGUAGGUAAGUAACGAAAGAACAAGUUCGAUGUAGGGCGCAGAGUGUUUGGGCUUGAAAAGAUGGUAAAUAAAUACUCUAGAUCCAGGCCAG